GGAAGCAUAGCUCAGCUGGUUCAGAGCAUCUGCCUUACAAGCAGAGGGUCCGCGGUUCGAAUCCGUGUGCUUCCACUA
rnacentral:tRNA from 1 species